AGCAGCCGCGGUAAUUCCAGCUCCAAUAGCGUAUAUUAAAGUUGUUGCAGUUAAAAAGCUCGUAGUUGAAUUUCGGGAUUGACGUGAUGGUCGUGCCUUACGGGGUAUGAACUGUUGCAGUCAAUUUCUCACCUUCUGGAGAAAUAUGAUGUCCUUAAUUGGGUGUCAUAUGGAACCAGAACUUUUACCUUGAAAAAUUAGAGUGUUUAAAGCAGGCUUAUUGCUCGAAUACAUUAGCAUGGAAUAAUAAAAUAGGACGGCAUGGUUCUAUUUUGUUGGUUUCUAGGAUCACCGUAAUGAUUAAUAGGGAUAGUUGGGGGCAUUAGUAUUCAAUUGUCAGAGGUGAAAUUCUUGGAUUUAUUGAAGACUAACUACUGCGAAAGCAUUUGCCAAGGAUGUUUUCAUUAAUCAAGAACGAAAGUUAGGGGAUCGAAGACGAUCAGAUACCGUCGUAGUCUUAACCAUAAACUAUGCCGACUAGGAAUCAGACGAUGUUAAUUUUUAAUGACUCGUUU
rnacentral:misc_RNA from 1 species